rnacentral:siRNA from 1 species
CCACCUUGACCUCAAAAUCGCA